UCCCUCCAGCAAGGGUGGCUCAGGCCUGUCUCACACUCGUGAUAUCCCCUGUCCCCUUCUUCGGCAUCUUUCCUGCUCCGGCCAGAGGAAGUUCUUGGCUUUUGAUAGCACAAGUGGAUGAGUGGACUCCUUGCAUAAUCCAGGAUGAUCUCCCUGUUUGAAGGCAUGUAACUUUAAUCACGCCUGAAAGUGCUUUUUUCCUGCAGCCUAACAGAUUCACGGCUUGCGGAGAUUAGAGGGUGAGCGUGGGGUGGGAGGGCCGGGGGCUUCCCCCAGCACAAGUGGUGGCAAGACUCAAGCUUUCCUUGCUACUGUCUCUAGGAAGGUCCAGCAGAGGCCCUGUGAUUCUCCAAAGGCCCAUCUUCCUCACUCUGUGCAGCUCUCUCUCGGGUCCCUGGUCUCAGCUGCAGUUCAAUGGGACAUUGACUUCUGCACAAAUGAUGCUGAUGAAUCAUCUCUUCUCUUUGUACAGAAGUUUGCAAAACGGGGGAGAAGAACAGAGCUCACAGAGGGAAAGUUACAGGCAGAAUCAGAGCAUCCACAGGGCAGGAGGUCACCCAGCCAGGCCCAGAAGUCGGUCUCAGGUCUCUAGACUGCCAAGCCACCAUGCUUCCCAAAUCUGAAAAGUUCCUGGGCACCAGAGCAAGGCAAUGAAGGCAUACUUCUUUGGGUUUCCAAGAGAAAUUCAAACGAGAAGAUGGCCACAGUUGGGAGUUUGGCUGGCUGUUCCUGGCUCCAGCUGCUGAGAAUCUGCAAUGACACAGCCCCACACAGUGAGCGUCACACUCUGGUAGACCAUCUCGAGCAGCACUCCUGGCUCUCCAAGCUGACAUGGCUCUGACCCAGCCAUGGUUCAUCUUAGCAUGGAAGAGGAGAGCCCGAGAGCCACCCAGCUGUAGAUCUGAGAGGCAGUCUAGAGAUCAUCCUGUCCAAAGCCCUUCACCUGAUCUUAGAGAUGGGAAACUGAGGCCCACGGGGGAGGAGAAGUUGCCCACGGGGGUCAGAACUGUGACCCGGCCAUUCGGCCUUCCAGCGUAGAAUCCAGCCUUCAGUUCCUUCAUGUCUUCCUACAUGUCCUUAGGGUGAUGAUGUUCAUCUCACUCCACCGCCUUUCCUAC
rnacentral:lncRNA from 1 species